rnacentral:rRNA from 1 species
UACGUAGGGGGCAAGCGUUGUCCGGAAUCAUUGGGCGUAAAGAGCGUGUAGGCGGCCCGAUAAGUCCGCUGUGAAAGUCCAGGGCUCAACCCUGGGAUGCCGGUGGAUACUGUCGGGCUCGAGUCCGGAAGAGGAGUGUGGAAUUCCUGGUGUAGCGGUGAAAUGCGCAGAUAUCAGGAGGAACACCAAUGGCGAAGGCAGCGCUCUGGGACGUGACUGACGCUGAGACGCGAAAGCGUGGGGAGCAAACAGG